CGACCCUACAACUUUUGUAUGUUGAUUUUGUAUCCUGCCAAAUGGGGCUAUAGCCUAGUCCACAGGGAUUUGAAGCCAGUUCCAUGUAGCCAGGACCAUGUUCAGUGUGUCAGCCACCUUGGUGCAGGCCUGCCUUCUCAAAAGGACUCUCCUCAGUCUUGGACAGCCCUGGGGUUUCACAAUCCCCUACCUGGAUCCCAAAGCCCCCACAAAGGCACUUUGGUCCAUGGAUGGUUGCCAAAUUAUUUUUGUUGAGGAGGGAUAUGAGUGGGGACAUCUUAUUUUGUCAUCUUGCUGACAUCACUCUCCAUUUCUUUAAAUAAAUAUAAAUUGCUCUAAUUCCCUUUCUAAAAGACCAAGCUUCCCCAAUAAGCUUAAAAAUAUAUGCUAUUUACAAGAAAAACCAAUGAUAAAAAUUUACAGAAGAUCAAAAAUGUGUAAAGUAUGCCCAAAACAUAUAAAUACAAAGAAAGCAGAAUGUGAAUACAAUAUUAGCUAAAGUGGGAUUCAAGAUAAAAACCAUUACAUUUUUAAAAUAUUAAAUUUAAAGGAGUCAUUUGCUGUUGAUACAAGUUUCCAUCUCUAGUGAUUAUAUAAAAUUAGUGAACAUGUAGGUAUGUAGUGAACAUGGAAUGAAAAUGUAUAAAAAUAUGUAAAAACUGUCUUUGCUUCUCAGAUGUUGAAGUUCAAUAAAACCCAUACUUAUUUUCACACACUGACAUCCUAAGUCUCUUUCUUAUUUUCAUCUUUCAUACAGCAGCUCUCUAACGAUAAUUCAAGCUAUCCCAAACUGGCAUUGCCUGCCAGCCAAUGCUGUAGGGACUCCACUCCUGGCCAAGACAGCAUGAGUGUUGACAGGUGAGCACUUUUAAUGGCACCAGCUGUUGGCAGAGAUGAGAAGCCCCCUUACCACCCACAGAACUUUCUGUUACAUAAUCAGUAUGCCUCGUGAACUAUAAGGAGGCCACAAGAAUGAAGGGCAGCAGCACAAAAAUUAUGUAUGAACAAGACUACAUUUUAGUCCAUGGAUUGUUGCAACGCUGGUUUUUCUUUUUAACUUAGUAACGCAAAAUUUUGCUAAAUGCUGAGUAAGUUUGGGACUCGGGGAAAACAGCCGUAGCUGCUUAUGCAUACUUGAAAAAUAGAUAUUUACAGAAGUCGGCAUUUGAAAUGUAAGUGACUAGUCUGCAUCCUAAGCAGCCAAAUGGGUUGAACAAAUUACACUUUAUUGGUUCUCCUGCCUGCAGGAGGCUUAAACUUUCUGUGCUGCAUAUCUCAGACAUGGCUGUUAAGUUGUUGUGGUCACAGAAAGGGAGGCAGAAAGGAAAGGACUGUGUGUCACUUCCUAGGAGAUGUUUUAAUAGCCAGCACAUGCUUUGACAAUUUCUUUUCUCCCUCAGCUAUACUUACCACCAAUAUUCGCACAGCACCUGAUACGUUAUUCUGGAUCCCAGCGUGAGGGCUAUGAUGAAAUUGAGCAGAACCCCAGGCCAGCUCAUACAUGCAUAUGGCAUGGGCGAGAAACAAAUUUUUGUUGCUGUUUUAAAUUUGUCAAGACAACGUAGCUUCUGUUUUGAAUAAUAAACCAAACUUGGAAAAUCCCCCCCCACCCUGUUCAGACUAUUGCAGACUACUGACUGUUUCACGCAUUUCACAUUGUUCAGAGUAACUGAACAAAAGCCUAAAUGCACUUCGACGUGUGGACGGUUUUAAUUGACACGGCAUUGAGGAGAGUGGUUUCGACCUUAGCGACAGCCCUAGAAAGCACUCAUGGGGCACCGGGGUAAAUACACACAUUCACAUCGUAUGCUUCACUUGUCUGUGGUUUAAAACAAUUACCAUUUGCUGUGCUCAGAAUGUAAAUUCUCUUUAAAUGGGAACACGCACCAUCAAGCCUUCCUUAGACUUUUAUCUUCAGAAAAGAACCUCUCGUUUUUAAAAUUUCACUUUUAUUCUGAACUACUUAUUUGACCUGCCACAACUAAAAUUUAAUAUAAUCUGGAAAGACAAUGGUCUCAUGUUUUUCUGUCUACCUUGGGUGUUAAAACCCAUUCGAUCUGGAAGCUAUCCAGAAAAAAAAAAAAAAAAAAAAAGGAUGUUUAUCUAAAUGUUCAGAGUCCAAAUGGUAAAAUAAUCAGGUGCACCUAUAUUAUAGGAUCAAAACAGUGACUAUGCUAAUGAGCUCAGCAAAUUCUGUCAAUUAGGGAUGAAGGAAGAGCUACAUUAUUUGUCAGCUUGACAGAGGCCACAGACCUCUGAUUUCCUGCGUGACUUCAUUUGUCUUUAUAUCACUCUGCAACAUUUUCAAAGAAUACUCCUCUCAUUCUAUUCUGAAAGCAAAAUUCUAAAAUGGUUAUUUGGUUUACUAUUACUGCAUUUUUGCCGUUAAAGAACAAAGUGACACAGAAAGAUCAGAUUGCUCGGCCAAGAACACAGAGCUAUAUAUUGGGGCAUAAAGAUAACACCACAGAUCUCUAGUCUAGUUCUUGUAUCUCACAACUUCCUUAUAGUUACGCCUCUUCCUAUUUGAUUAGCCAAUUUCUUAACUUGGUUGUGAAAAUUGUCAAACUGGAGAACAGCCAGACUUGCACUUCAUUUCUGUAUAUGCCCUAACUAAGCAUCUGAGACAGGCUUUCUUGAAUAGUAAUAAAAAAGGGAUAUUUUUAAGAAUGUGUAGGAAAUACUUGGGGGCUCCAAGCAUCAUUUGAAGUCUUAGUCACAGAAUCCUCCUUCUUUUUGGAAGCACAAUUCUUUCAAGCAUUUAACAGGCUUCAUUUCUACCUAAUGCCAAUCUUCUCCCCGCGCCUAUAACCAAACUCAGAAUUCUGGUUCUUGGACAUAGAUCCCCAAACUGCUCUAUUUCUUUGCUCUCUUGCCUUCAUGCCCUCUCAAAUGAGUGGUCAUGCACGUUGAUCUUUUUGGUUUCAGUAGACGAACCACACCCUUGAGCGUUUGCCCUUAAUUCGUUUUACGUCAUUAAGAACUUUUGUUUGGGCCCGUUGUCUUAAGUUGAACUUUGCCUUGAGGCUCAAUAAUCUAUUGAGGAUAAUUAACAACAGGUGUGGAAACCAUACUCUCAAUUUGGUCUUUGGCAAAAGGCUGAGCUUUAACAACUGAAGGUCGCUCAGAGUUUUCUCAAGUGUUUCUCAUAGUCUCCUGCCAUUUGAGUUUAAGAAGAACUUGCCUUUUCGAGCCCCAUUUCUGAAUGUUCUAUAUUUCUUUUAGUUCUUGUUUGCAAAUUAGCGAAUUCUUUCUACAUUUAUCUCUUUCUUAUGAUACUAUGUUAAACACGGCCAACAGCACACAAGAUGAACAAAUAAUAUUCUGUUCUUUAACCUCUCCCCCAAAGCCAGAAAUUCAUUUUGUCCAUGACUUGCCUCCCAUAUCACCAGAGGUAACUAUUUUACUGUAUGAUUUGCCACUGAAUGACACGAGUCAACACCACUCAAGCCUCUGAUACAUGUAUUGCUUCAGGUAUCGUGGGUCAAGGAGGGUCUCUUGGCACUGAGCUUUGCUGCCUUGGAAGACGGUUGAUGCAGGAUCGUGUAACGAUCAAGAGAAUGGAAGACAGGCUGAGUUUGAAUGUCAGCUCCUCCACAUCUGGCGAGAAUUUGUACGAGUUAACCAACCUCUCUGUGUCUAAGUUUCCUCAUCAAUAAAACAGGAAUGAUAAAAUAGAACGUGCCUCAGACUUGUGAUCAUUUCAUGACUUAACACACUUAAGGCAGUCAGAACGGUGGUUGGUACGCGGUAAUUCUAAUGCAUUAGUUACUAUUAAUUCUCUGAGUAUUAUGUGUAUAUCUCUGAGUAUGUCUCUGAGUAUGCCGAAGUCUUCACUUCUACCUCUUGACGGACGACCCUCCAGUCCAUAUAACAAUUCUAGAAUGGACUUCAUGAGUUCCACAGCCAUAUAUUCAAUUCCAUUCUAGAUAUCUCCAACAAUUCAAAUUCAACUGGUCCACAAAGGGGAGGCACCAUCAUUCUUCCCACUCCUGCUUUUCUAGCCAUGUUUUCUAGCUUAUGCAGUUACAUCAGCAUCCACUCACUCAAGCUAGAAAACUGCACAGAUUUGUGAGCAAUUUUAUGAGUUCUACCUCAAAAUUCAUCCCUCCCUCACUUUCCCUUCACUGUAAUCAUUAUUAUUUCUUGAUUCACAUUCUGCUCUGGCCUCCUAAUUGCUCUG